GUAAAUCCGGGCCUCAUAAACUCUGAGACGUGAUACCGAGCCGCUUCAGGCGAAGUCAUUGAUCCUAUGCUGCCUAGAAAAGCCCAGCAGCUAGUUGACAUGGUGCCCGUACCCCAAACCAACACAGGUGGACAGGUAGAGCAUACCAAGGCGAGUGGGAUAACUAUGGUUAAGGAACUCGGCAAAUUGCCUCCGUAACUUCGGGAGAAGGAGGACCCCAGUAGCGUGAUGAGACUUGCUCUCUGAGCGUGAAGGGGUGGCACAAAAUUGAGGGAAGCGACUGUUUACCAAAAACACAGCAGUGUGCUAAGCCGUAAGGCGCUGUAUACGCUGUGACUCCUGCCCGGUGCUGGAAGGUUACGGGGAUGGGUUAGUCCUUCGGGACGAAGCUCUGAACCUAAGCCCCAGUAAACGGCGGCCGUAACUAUAACGGUCCUAAGGUAGCGAAAUUCCUUGUCGGGUAAGUUCCGACCUGCACGAAUGGAGUAACGACUUCCCUACUGUCUCAACCAUAGACCCAGCGAAAUUGAAGUACGAGUAAAGAUGCUCGUUAGCUGCAGAAGGACGGAAAGACCCCGUGGACCUUUACUAUAACUUGAUGUUGUGUUUUGUCAUAUGUUGUGUAGGAUAGGUGGGAGACUUGGAAGCAUGGACGCUAGUCUGUGUGGAGUCAUCGUUGAAAUACCACCCUGCAUAUGGUGAGGCUCUAACCUAGACCCGUUAUCCGGGUUGGGGACAGCGUCAGGCGGGUAGUUUAACUGGGGCGGUUGCCUCCUAAAGAGUAACGGAGGCGCCCAAAGGUUCCCUCAGCCUGGUUGGCAAUCAGGCGUUGAGUGCAAUGGCAAAAGGGAGCUUGACUGCGAGACCUACAAGUCGAGCAGGAGCGAAAGCUGGGCAUAGUGAUCCGGCGGUUGCGUGUGGAAGCGCCGUCGCUCAACGGAUAAAAGGUACCCCGGGGAUAACAGGCUAAUCUUGCCCAAGCGUCCAUAGCGACGGCAAGGUUUGGCACCUCGAUGUCGGCUCAUCGCAUCCUGGGGCUGAAGCAGGUCCCAAGGGUUGGGCUGUUCGCCCAUUAAAGCGGUACGCGAGCUGGGUUCAGAACGUCGUGAGACAGUUCGGUCCCUAUCCUCUGCAGCCGGAGGUGAAUUGAGGAAAGCUGUCCCUAGUACGAGAGGACCGGGACGGACGCAGCUCUCGUGUGCCAGUUGUCCUGCCAAGGGCAUGGCUGGUUAGCGACCUGCGGAAAGGAUAACCGCUGAAAGCAUCUAAGCGGGAAGCCUCUUCCAAGAUGAAUUCACCCACAGGGUUAACCUGGUAAGGCCCGUGGUAGACCACCACGUUGAUAGGCCGGAAGUGUAAGCGUGGCAACACGUUCAGCUGACCGGUACUAAUCGGCCGAGGGCUUGAGAU
rnacentral:rRNA from 1 species